rnacentral:rRNA from 1 species
UACGUAGGGGGCAAGCGUUGUCCGGAUUUAUUGGGCGUAAAGAGCGUGUAGGCGGUCAGGUAGGUCCGUUGUGAAAACUCGAGGCUCAACCUCGAGACGCCGGUGGAAACCAUCAGACUAGAGUCCGGAAGAGGAGAGUGGAAUUCCUGGUGUAGCGGUGAAAUGCGCAGAUAUCAGGAAGAACACCCGUGGCGAAGGCGGCUCUCUAGUACGGUACUGACGCUGAGACGCGAAAGCGUGGGGAGCGAACAGG